GACGGAGGAUGCAAGUGUUAUCCGGAAUCACUGGGCGUAAAGCGUCUGUAGGUGGUUUAAAAAGUCCACUGUUAAAAAUUGAAGCUUAACUUCAAAGAUGCCGUGGAAACUUUUAAACUUGAGUAUGAUAGGGGUAGAGGGAAUUUCCAGUGGAGCGGUGAAAUGCGUAGAUAUUGGAAAGACCACCAAUGGCGAAAGCACUCUGCUGGGCCGACACUGACACUGAGAGACGAAAGCUAGGGGAGCGAAUGGG
rnacentral:rRNA from 1 species